rnacentral:rRNA from 1 species
GGCUUAGAGUUUGAUCAUGGCUCAGGAUGAACGCUGGCGGCGUGCCUAACACAUGCAAGUCGAGCGAAGCACUUUGCUUGGAUUCUUUCGGGAUGACGAGUGAUUUGACUGAGCGGCGGACGGGUGAGUGACGCGUGGGUAACCUGCCUCACACAGGGGGAUAACAGUUAGAAAUGACUGCUAAUACCGCAUAAGACCCCAGCACCGCAUGGUGCAGUGGUAAAAACUCCGGUGGUGUGAGAUGGACCCGCGUCUGAUUAGCUAGUUGGUAAGGUAACGGCUUACCAAGGCGACGAUCAGUAGCCGGCCUGAGAGGGUGGACGGCCACAUUGGGACUGAGACACGGCCCAAACUCCUACGGGAGGCAGCAGUGGGGAAUAUUGCACAAUGGGGGAAACCCUGAUGCAGCGACGCCGCGUGAGCGAAGAAGUAUUUCGGUAUGUAAAGCUCUAUCAGCAGGGAAGAAACUGACGGUACCUGACUAAGAAGCACCGGCUAAAUACGUGCCAGCAGCCGCGGUAAUACGUAUGGUGCAAGCGUUAUCCGGAUUUACUGGGUGUAAAGGGAGCGUAGACGGAUAGGCAAGUCUGGAGUGAAAACCCGGGGCUCAACCCCGGGACUGCUUUGGAAACUGUUUAUCUAGAGUGCUGGAGAGGUAAGUG